rnacentral:rRNA from 1 species
AGAGUUUGAUCCUGGCUCAGGAUGAACGCUAGCGGCAGGCUUAAUACAUGCAAGUCGAGGGGCAGCAGGUCUGUAGCAAUACAGAUGCUGGCGACCGGCAAACGGGUGCGGAACACGUACAGAACCUUCCUUCGAGCGGGGAAUAGCCCAGAGAAAUUUGGGUUAAUACCCCAUAGUAUAUUGAGUAGGCAUCUACUUAAUAUUAAAGAUUUAUCACUUGAAGAUGGCUGUGCGGCUGAUUAGGUAGUUGGCGGGGUAACGGCCCACCAAGCCUGCGAUCAGUAACUGGUGUGAGAGCACGACCAGUCACACGGGCACUGAGACACGGGCCCGACUCCUACGGGAGGCAGCAGUAAGGAAUAUUGGUCAAUGGACGAAAGUCUGAACCAGCCAUGCCGCGUGGAGGAUGAAGGUCCUCUGGAUUAUAAACUUCUUUUAUAUGGGACGAAAAAAGGGUUUUCUAACUCGUCUGACGGUACCAUAUGAAUAAGCACCGGCUAACUCCGUGCCAGCAGCCGCGGUAAUACGGAGGGCGCAAGCGUUAUCCGGAUUCACUGGGUUUAAAGGGUGCGUAGGUGGGUUGGUAAGUCAGUGGUGAAAUCCCCGAGCUUAACUUGGGAACUGCCAUUGAUACUAUCAGUCUUGAAUACCGUGGAGGUUAGCGGAAUAUGUCAUGUAGCGGUGAAAUGCUUAGAUAUGACAUAGAACACCAAUUGCGAAGGCAGCUGGCUACACGAAUAUUGACACUGAGGCACGAAAGCGUGGGGAUCAAACAGGAUUAGAUACCCUGGUAGUCCACGCCCUAAACUAUGGAUACUCGAUAUCAGCGAUACACUGUUGGUGUCUGAGCGAAAGCGUUAAACGUGCCGCCUGGGGAGUACGGUCGCAAGAUUAAAACUCAAAGAAAUUGACGGGGGCCUGCACAAGCGGUGGAGUAUGUGGCUCAAUUCGAUGCAACGCGAAGAACCUUACCUGGCCUUGACAUGUAGGUAGUAGAACCGUGAAAACGGGACGAGGUAGCAAUACCAGCCUACACAGGUGCUGCAUGGCUGUCGUCAGCUCGUGUCGUGAGAUGUUGGGUUAAGUCCCGCAACGAGCGCAACCCCUGCGUCCUGUUGCCACCCGGUCGAGAGGCUGGAGCACUCUGGACGGACUGCCUCGCUUAAACGAGGAGGAAGGUGGGGAUGACGUCAAGUCAGUAUGGCCCUUACGGCCAGGGCUGCACACGUACUACAAUGCCCGGCACAAAGGGAAGCGAGACGGUAACGUGGAGCAAAUCCCCAAAAACCGGGCCCAGUUUAGAUUGUCGUCUGCAACUCGACGGCAUGAAGCUGGAAUCGCUAGUAAUGGCGCAUCAGCUACGGCGCCGUGAAUACGUUCCCAGGCCUUGUACACACCGCCCGUCACAUCAUGAAAGCCGGUUGUACCCGAAGUCGCCGUGUUAACCGCAAGGAGACAGGCGCCGAAGGUAUGGCUGGUGAUUGGGAUGAAGUCGUAACAAGGUAACC